CGCCUCGUAGCUAAGCUGGUAGAGCGUACGCGUACAAAGCGUGGGGGGCGUCCAUGUGUGGGUUCGAAUCCUACUGAAUCUA
rnacentral:tRNA from 1 species